CUUUUUUCUAGCCACAGGGACAAUCUAACUGGGGAGAGAAGAUCUGGUGAGCCCACUGCAAGUGAGAUUUCCAAGGGGCCUAAUGUGUGCUGGACAGAGGAGCUCCUUACACCUUGUCUGCUUCUCACCGUAAUGGUGAUGCAGUGUGUCACCCCACUCUAGGACCAGCGCUGCCAUGGCUCCCACACCAAUCCUGAGGCUGCAGCAGAAAAAUGGUGGCUCUGGCUUUGGAAUGAAUUUCCCCUAAAUCAGUGUUUCUCAGACAUUCCCAUCAAAGGUGCCACCACCUUGGAUGAACCCAAUGGAGUUCGCCGCAAGCAUGAAAUUUCUAUUUUCAUGAUGUGUAGCCCACAUGCUGCAGGAAAAAGGACCUACGAGACUGUACCGUGUAGAAGGUCUGCACUGCUGAGAAGAAGGGGGAGUGUGCCCACUGGCAGCUCCCUCACACAUCAAAAGGUCAAGGCUUUCCUUUACACCUGAGUAAAACCUGACACCCUUCCAGGGUUUGGCCUGUAAUUCCUGGGGAAGAGGAGUCCAUGACCCUCAUCCAGAGAAGAUGGAGCUCGAGACCCAGAGGAGAAGGAAGGAGGACCUUGGGGUCAGGAGUCAAACUUCAUGCGGGACAUUUGGAAGGUUAACCAAUGACAUGCAUCUGUAAGAGGCCACCACAUUUAUCCCACAAAAUAUUCAGGAUCAUAGGAGGUCAUGAUAUUUAUACAGGGCAGUAAAACGAACAGUAUCUACCUAGGAGUCACAAUGUCUGUCCAAGGGAAUAGAAUAUAUAACAUUCAGAUUCUAUUUACUGGGUGAGAUACUUUUCACUUCUAGAAUAGGUGAUGUGAAGGAGGCUGGCACCCCAGCUUCACGUCUCCUCAUUUAGGAGGGACUGGGAGCCUGGAGCUGGACGUUCUGAAGUUACAGAGGAACUGAUUUCCUCGCCAAGAUGCUCCCCCACUGUAGGGGUGUCAAAGGUAACUUAAAAAGUGUGAUCUCAGGCAGCCUGGGUAGCUCAGUGGUUUAGCGCCACCUUUGGCCCAGGGCAUGAUCCUGGAGUCCUGGAAUCAAGUCCCACAUCGGGCUCCCUGCAUGGAGCCUGCUUCUCCCUCUGUCUGUGUCUCUGCCUCUCUCUCUCUCUCUCUCUCUCUCUCUCUCUGUCGCUCAUGAAUGAAUAAAUAAAAUCUUAAAAAAAAAGUGUGGUCUCUG
rnacentral:lncRNA from 12 species